CUCUACCCGUCCUGGGUGGCGACCGCUGACCCCCGCCCCUCAGCCCACCACUGCGCAGACUUGAGACUUCGGCGCGCUGAGGUUAGGACGAGAGAGGCAAAAGGGAGGUGUGUGACCGGGAGAAGGCGGUGCUCCUACCGCCGUAGAAGGGGCCGCCGGUGUCGGUGGUCCGGGUGGUGCUGGGGAGGAGAGCGGCCCGGCCGCUAGGUGGCGCCGGAGCCGCGGCGGGCGGAGGAGGGCCCCAGCGAGAGGGCGACGAGCGGGGGCCGUAGGUGGCGGGUCUGACAGAGGAGGCGGCGGGGGUUCUGGUCCCCGAACGAGGACGGUACGGCCCGUCGCCUCCCCCGCCGCGGCCGCGCACGCCCCCGCGGUGACUUCCACUACUAGAGGCCCCGCGGGCGCAGCCCGUUCCCCUGAGUCACGGCAUACUAACAGCUCUUCAUACCAAACCAAGUAUAUAGUUGACCCCUAGAAGAUGCCCGACUUCAUAGAAGACCGUGUCUAUAUCCGUUCUUUCGUUUUCUUAUAUACCUGUCACCGUACGAACAGGGUCUAGUUCAACACUGUCUAUACCAACAGAGUGCUGACAGUGUCGGACUACACGCGCUUUCUCCCACCGAAGAACUACCAAUGGGUUCCUCAAUACGAGUUCGUGUUUCAGAACUAUCAUACUUUUAUUCUGGUCUAUAUAAGCAAAAUGACCUUCAAGGACUACUGUUAGAUUAGCUAUCUACACAACCUUCUUCUGACCUAGGACACUGCCCGUUUUAAAUGGUACAUUUCUUGAAGGGGGGUCUCUUACUCCUCUAUAGACGGUCCGAAUAAUGUGCGAGACUACUAUGUAAACUUUUCCAAUUUAGUGCGGAACUCUGAAUGUUUGUUUUAAGACUUCGACAAUAAGGUUGUAUGAGUCUAGACGAAUUGGUCUAACUACCUUUAGCGGGUCACCUUCAGUAAAAAGUACUUUAUCUAAGGUACAAUGUCUUCUAAUGCUUACGAAGUCUUUUUUUCAACCGGUUCUGUUUGCCUUUUGGUGGUCUGUGUUGUCGAAGCUUUUUCCUCACCGCACCUUAAGGUUGCUCUAAUUUAUUGUAAGGUGUGAGGUCUCUCUAGUCCUUUAUGAAAAUGCCGCUACACUAUGUUCGAUGUUUCGUACGAUAACUUCUAUUUUUCUGAGCCAACGUCUAUCUAUAGUUAUAAGGCCUCGAAUUGGGGCUUUACCUACAAAUAGCAUAUCCUUGGGAGUACCUUGAACAUUCUCUAAAUAGAGAAUGGAAACGACUACUGCCUUUCGCACAGUUCCAGACACAAGUUCCGAGGUACCCCGUUCCGCGUAAACGACCAUAAGGUGAAGUCGAACGACCUUGGUCUUUUUAUAACCUUAAGUACCUGACCCCACUGAUACCCCGCUACCCGCGGAAGUAUUUAUAACCUCGUCAUCCACGAUCACUCUAACUAUUUCUUCUACUGUACAAACAAGAGUAACGAGGGGUUUUACGACAACCUUUGACGUAUUAACUACUAUACUCUCGAUACUGACUACGACGACCACUGUCUGGACACUAAGAACAUUUAGGAGCGGACUUCCUAUACGGACGUAGUUCACCGCAUUACGUUUGUUACCCUUCUCUACACUCCGAAGUCAUACGACGUAGUAAACUCUGAACAAUAAGAAAGGCCGAAGAGAAGAUACGACCAUGUAAAAUAGGAUAUUACCCGCGAAAUUCCUACCGAAUAUGUUUAUUUAUACUCUAAAAAGCUUCCCAACUACUUGGAUUACCUCUUUUUAUACUAAACGAUCGACUUAAGUGGCCCUUAGGUUGUCGACUACUGUAGUGGUUACGGAAACAUCCUUGUUUUUUCUUUUUCCUUUUACGCGGGAGACCUAAGACCCCAAAGAACUCGCCGUAUAACAUUCAUUUUAGUCAGAUGAUACGUCUGUAUUCAAAAACGCACUCCCAAGGUCAGUUAGUCGUAAAGUAGUCACAUCGGUCUGUUCUAGAACGCGUUAGGGCGCUGCGACUUAAUAUAGGACUGCAUAACAGGAUAUAUAUAUGAAACACGUGUGUAGUAGGUAGUAACAAUUAAAAGUCACAUUGAUACUUACUUCUCAUUUAAAGACGUUGUGAUGUCCAAGUGUGAAACCCUACUAACUUUACUAUGUGUUACAUGUUUCUCAUUUACGUAGUUUUUGCAACAGUUAUAUGUUUCUCAUCGGCGUUGUGUGUGACAUUACCUUAAAAAAAGGGGAAUGUAGAACCACAUCGGUUAUGAAUUAUAGAGGUUUGUACUUCGGACCUAAGAAAGAUGUGCAGUACUG
rnacentral:rRNA from 1 species